rnacentral:rRNA from 2 species
AACGAGUGGCGGACGGGUGAGUAACACGUGGGUAACCUGCCCUUAAGUGGGGGAUAACAUUUGGAAACAGAUGCUAAUACCGCAUAAAUCCAAGAACCGCAUGGUUCUUGGCUGAAAGAUGGCGUAAGCUAUCGCUUUUGGAUGGACCCGCGGCGUAUUAGCUAGUUGGUGAGGUAACGGCUCACCAAGGCAAUGAUACCUAGCCGAACUGAGAGGUUGAUCGGCCACAUUGGGACUGACACACGGCCCAAACUCCUACGGGAGGCAGCAGUAGGGAAUCUUCCACAAUGGACGCAAGUCUGAUGGAGCAACGCCGCGUGAGUGAAGAAGGCUUUCGGGUCGUAAAACUCUGUUGUUGGAGAAGAAUGGUCGGCAGAGUAACUGUUGUCGGCGUGACGGUAUCCAACCAGAAAGCCACGGCUAACUACGUGCCAGCAGCCGCGGUAAUACGUAGGUGGCAAGCGUUAUCCGGAUUUAUUGGGCGUAAA